rnacentral:rRNA from 1 species
UUAAAUUGAAGAGUUUGAUCAUGGCUCAGAUUGAACGCUGGCGGCAGGCCUAACACAUGCAAGUCGAACGGUAACAGGAAGCAGCUUGCUGCUUUGCUGACGAGUGGCGGACGGGUGAGUAAUGUCUGGGAAACUGCCUGAUGGAGGGGGAUAACUACUGGAAACGGUGGCUAAUACCGCAUAACGUCGCAAGACCAAAGAGGGGGACCUUCGGGCCUCUUGCCAUCAGAUGUGCCCAGAUGGGAUUAGCUAGUUGGUGAGGUAACGGCUCACCAAGGCGACGAUCCCUAGCUGGUCUGAGAGGAUGACCAGCCACACUGGAACUGAGACACGGUCCAGACUCCUACGGGAGGCAGCAGUGGGGAAUAUUGCACAAUGGGCGCAAGCCUGAUGCAGCCAUGCCGCGUGUAUGAAGAAGGCCUUCGGGUUGUAAAGUACUUUCAGCGGGGAGGAAGGUGUUGUGGUUAAUAACCGCAGCAAUUGACGUUACCCGCAGAAGAAGCACCGGCUAACUCCGUGCCAGCAGCCGCGGUAAUACGGAGGGUGCAAGCGUUAAUCGGAAUUACUGGGCGUAAAGCGCACGCAGGCGGUCUGUCAAGUCGGAUGUGAAAUCCCCGGGCUCAACCUGGGAACUGCAUUCGAAACUGGCAGGCUUGAGUCUUGUAGAGGGGGGUAGAAUUCCAGGUGUAGCGGUGAAAUGCGUAGAGAUCUGGAGGAAUACCGGUGGCGAAGGCGGCCCCCUGGACAAAGACUGACGCUCAGGUGCGAAAGCGUGGGGAGCAAACAGGAUUAGAUACCCUGGUAGUCCACGCCGUAAACGAUGUCUACUUGGAGGUUGUGCCCUUGAGGCGUGGCUUCCGGAGCUAACGCGUUAAGUAGACCGCCUGGGGAGUACGGCCGCAAGGUUAAAACUCAAAUGAAUUGACGGGGGCCCGCACAAGCGGUGGAGCAUGUGGUUUAAUUCGAUGCAACGCGAAGAACCUUACCUGGUCUUGACAUCCACAGAACUUUCCAGAGAUGGAUUGGUGCCUUCGGGAACUGUGAGACAGGUGCUGCAUGGCUGUCGUCAGCUCGUGUUGUGAAAUGUUGGGUUAAGUCCCGCAACGAGCGCAACCCUUAUCCUUUGUUGCCAGCGAUUCGGUCGGGAACUCAAAGGAGACUGCCAGUGAUAAACUGGAGGAAGGUGGGGAUGACGUCAAGUCAUCAUGGCCCUUACGACCAGGGCUACACACGUGCUACAAUGGCGCAUACAAAGAGAAGCGACCUCGCGAGAGCAAGCGGACCUCAUAAAGUGCGUCGUAGUCCGGAUUGGAGUCUGCAACUCGACUCCAUGAAGUCGGAAUCGCUAGUAAUCGUGGAUCAGAAUGCCACGGUGAAUACGUUCCCGGGCCUUGUACACACCGCCCGUCACACCAUGGGAGUGGGUUGCAAAAGAAGUAGGUAGCUUAACCUUCGGGAGGGCGCUUACCACUUUGUGAUUCAUGACUGGGGUGAAGUCGUAACAAGGUAACCGUAGGGGAACCUGCGGUUGGAUCACCUCCUUACCUUAAAGAA